GUGCAAUCAAAAGCACAGAUUUGCUACAGUAAGAGUAUCUUAAUACUUCUAGUACCUCCUUACUCCCUUUUGGGACGAAAGUUUUGAACUGAACCUUUCCAAGAGAGUAAGGAAUAGUGCUGUGUAAAAGGUGUAAUAGCAGCAUGUGAAGCUCUCUUCCAGAUAGUGCUGUUUGUUUAUCUUUCAGACUAGUCCUACUGAGAGCUUAGUGCAGGAGCAGCUCUGGAAACUCAUAUGCUAACGGUUACGGUAUGCUAAUGGUUAACGGUAUGAGUUUCAAUAGGGCCAAGUGUUGGGUCCUGCAUUUUGAUCACAACAACCCCAGGCAACCCUACAGGCUUGGGGAGGUGUGGCUGGAAAGCUGCCUGAUGGAAAGGGACCUUGGUGUACUGUUGGACAGUCGGCUGAAUAUGAGCCAGCAGUGUGCCCAGGUGGCCAAGAUUGCCAAUGGCAUCCUGGCUUGUAUCAGGAACCGUGUGGUGAGCAGGACUAGGGAAGUCAUCCUGCCACUGUAAUCGACAUUGGUGAGGUCUCACCUUGGGUACUGUGUUCAGUUUUGGGCACCUCAGUACAAGAAGGACAUGGAGGUACUGGAGCAGGUCCAGAGAAGGGCAGCGAGGCUAGUGAAGGGCUUGGAAAAUCAGCCCUAUGAGGAGAGGCUGAGGGAGCUGGGGCUGUUUAGUCUGGGGAAGAGGAGACGGAGGGGAGGCCGUAUUACUCUCUUCCAGUACCUGAAAGGUGCUUACAGUGAGAGCGGGGUAGGUCUCUUCUCACUGGUGACAGGUGACAAGACAAGGGGAAAUGGCCUCAAGUUGCGCCAAGGUAAGUUUCGGUUGGAUGUUAGGAAACACUUCUUUACAGAAAGGGUGGUUAAGCACUGGAAUAGGCUCCCCAAGGAAGUGGUUGAGUCACCGUCCCUGGAUGUGUUUAAGAGCCGUUUGGAUGUAGUGCUCAGAGAUAUGAUUUAGCGGAGGGUUGUUAGGGUAUUAUGGUUAGGUUGCAGUUGGACUUGAUGAUCUUUGAGGUCCUUUCCAACAUGAGUAAUUCUAUGAUUCUAUGAUUCUAUGGCAAAAGAAACAGUGCUUGUAUAUUAGGGAAGACAGAGAUGCAACUAUGCCUUCAGCUUUCCUUGUGCUCAGUCUUAAAUGAUCUUGGUGAUGUUUCUGCAACAAAUAUCUGAAGAGGACUGUGGAUAGGUAUUGACUUUGUGAUAAGCAUCUAGAUCAUUAAACUAUCUCUUUCCCUGGAAUUUAUGCAUACCAAAGAUGCUCUUGGCUAGCAAUAUCUUGACCC
ensembl:lncRNA